UUGACCUCGGAUCAGGUAGGGAUACCCGCUGAACUUAAGCAUAUCAAUAAGCCGGAGGAAA
rnacentral:rRNA from 4 species